AUUGAACGCUGGCGGCAGGCCUAACACAUGCAAGUCGAACGAGUGGCGGACGGGUGAGUCAUGUCUGGGAAAAUGCCUGAUGGAGGGGGAUAACUACUGGAAACGGUAGCUAAUACCGCAUACCAUCAGAUGAUCCCAGAUGGGAUUGGCUAGUUGGUGGGGUAACGGAUCACAAAGGCGACGAUCCCUAGCUGGUCUGAGAGGAUGACCAGCCAGACUGGAACUGAGACACGGUCCAGACUCCUACGUGAGGCAGCAGUGGGGAAUAUUGCACAAUGGGCGCAAGCCUGAUGCAGCCAUGCCGAGUGUAUGAAGAAGGCCUUAGGGUUGUAAAGUACUUUCAGCGGGGAGGCGUUACCCGCAGAAGAAGCACCGGCUAACUCCGUGCCAGCAGCCGCGGUAAUUC
rnacentral:rRNA from 1 species